UAUGAUCACCGAAGUUAAGCAACGUCGAGCCUAGUUAGCACCUUGAUGAGAGACCGCUUGGGAAUACCAGGUGUUGUAAG